rnacentral:rRNA from 1 species
CCAAGGCAUGCCUAGUACGGCGAGUGAGCGGCAACAGCUCAAAUUUGAAAGCUGGCCUUCGGGUCCGCAUUGUAAUUUGUAGAGGAUGCUUUGGGUGAAACGCCAGUCUAAGUUCCUUGGAACAGGACGUCAUAGAGGGUGAGAAUCCCGUAUGUGACUGGAAAUGUUAACCUAUGUAAAGCUCCUUCGACGAGUCGAGUUGUUUGGGAAUGCAGCUCUAAAUGGGAGGUAAAUUUCUUCUAAAGCUAAAUAUUGGCGAGAGACCGAUAGCGCACAAGUAGAGUGAUCGAAAGAUGAAAAGCACUUUGGAAAGAGAGUUAAAAAGCACGUGAAAUUGUUGAAAGGGAAGCGCUUGCAAUCAGACUUGUUUAAACUGUUCGGCCGGUCUUCUGACCGGUUUACUCAGUUUGGACAGGCCAGCAUCAGUUUCGGCGGCCGGAUAAAGGCUCUGGGAAUGUGGCCUUCACUUCGGUGAAGGUGUUAUAGCCCAGGGUGUAAUACGGCCAGCCGGGACUGAGGUCCGCGCUUCGGCUAGGAUGCUGGCGUAAUGGUUGUAAGCGACCCGUCUUAA